GACGAACGCUGGCGGCGUGCCUAAUACAUGCAAGUCGAACGCUUCUUUCCUCCCGAGUGCUUGCACUCAAUUGGAAAGAGGAGUGGCGGACGGGUGAGUAACACGUGGGUAACCUACCCAUCAGAGGGGGAUAACACUUGGAAACAGGUGCUAAUACCGCAUAACAGUUUAUGCCGAAUGGCAUAAGAGUGAAAGGCGCUUUCGGGUGUCGCUGAUGGAUGGACCCGCGGUGCAUUAGCUAGUUGGUGAGGUAACGGCUCACCAAGGCCACGAUGCAUAGCCGACCUGAGAGGGUGAUCGGCCACACUGGGACUGAGACACGGCCCAGACUCCUACGGGAGGCAGCAGUAGGGAAUCUUCGGCAAUGGACGAAAGUCUGACCGAGCAACGCCGCGUGAGUGAAGAAGGUUUUCGGAUCGUAAAACUCUGUUGUUAGAGAAGAACAAGGACGUUAGUAACUGAACGUCCCCUGACGGUAUCUAACCAGAAAGACACGGCUAACUACGUG
rnacentral:rRNA from 1 species